GGGUGCGCAAUGGUUUCGACGGGGGACAAGAUGGGUUGAGUAGCGAGCAGAGUUGCCGCCAGCUCUUAAAAAAGGUGGAAAAACUAUAACUGCCGAAGAAAACUUCGCACUAGCAGCCUAAGGGCUGCUCGUCCGGCUAGCCAUUCUCGCGGGUUAGUGCGGGGCGUCACACAGUGAGAUACCCUGAAGCCUUCUUUCUCGAGGGGCUUUAAGGGGAAAGCUAUCGGGGAUAGCCGAAGGGAGCCUGUCCGUGGGCGCCCGGUUGGCGAAAACCAAAACGCGGAAUGCGCUCGGAGAAGCUCUUCUGGUCUUUCUUUCGGACGGGGGUUCGAUUCCCCCCGCCUCCACCA
rnacentral:tmRNA from 1 species